rnacentral:rRNA from 1 species
UACGUAGGGUGCGAGCGUUGUCCGGAAUUAUUGGGCGUAAAGAGCUUGUAGGUGGUUUGUCGCGUCUGCUGUGAAAAUCCGAGGCUCAACCUCGGACUUGCAGUGGGUACGGGCAGACUAGAGUGUGGUAGGGGAGACUGGAAUUCCUGGUGUAGCGGUGGAAUGCGCAGAUAUCAGGAGGAACACCGAGUCGGCGAAGGCAGGUCUCU